rnacentral:rRNA from 1 species
CGGCGGACGGGUGACCGUAACACGUGGAUAACCUACCUAUAAGACUGGGAUAACUUCGGGAAACCGGAGCUAAUACCGGAUAAUAUAUUGAACCGCAUGGUUCAAUAGUGAAAGACGGUUUUGCUGUCACUUAUAGAUGGAUCCGCGCCGCAUUAGCUAGUUGGUAAGGUAACGGCUUACCAAGGCAACGAUGCGUAGCCGACCUGAGAGGGUGAUCGGCCACACUGGAACUGAGACACGGUCCAGACUCCUACGGGAGGCAGCAGGC